rnacentral:misc_RNA from 1 species
GCAAUUCAAGAGCUAAAAACAGAGUGUGUCACCUAUUCCCCUUCCUCGGUAGGGCUUCAGGACGACGAGCAUGGCGAUGUAGCCCCUGAAUGCACCCCGGUGCUCCCCCAUCUUGCACACGACCGUCCCCACGCACUUGCCAUCCCUGGCAUCGAACGCCUGCAUCACCCCCCAUUCCGUUGCCACCCAAGACGAAGAACCAGGAGAGCGUCAAAUCCGGCACUACCACGGCGUGAUUCGAGAGGGAGCGGAGGAGAGAGGUGGGGGAGAGAGAAGGGGAGGCGUGUGUACCAGGAAGGUGAGCUGCGGCCAGAGGUACACGAAGUAGCGGUAUGUGAAGAUGGAGUAGGGCUCGCUGAGCUCCUCGUCGACCAGCGACAUUACCAGCGGCAGGGACAAGAAAGCACUGGAGAAGAAAGCGGCCAAGAAGACGCUCCUCUGCUUGAAGCAACACUUGGAAAUCUAGCACCAACAUAUUCAGAACAUGUAUUCUGUUGUGCUCCCCUUGCAAUCUUUAUUUUAAUUGGUUGCAUUU